rnacentral:tRNA from 3 species
CGCGGAGUGGAGCAGUUGGUAGCUCGUCGGGCUCAUAACCCGAAGGUCGUUGGUUCAAGUCCAGCCUCCGCAACCA